rnacentral:rRNA from 1 species
CCAGGCGACUGUUUAUCAAAAACACAGGGCUCUGCUAAAUCGAGAGAUGAAGUAUAGGGCCUGACACCUGCCCGGUGCCGGAAGGUUAAGGGGGGGCGUUAUCGACUUCGGUUGAGAAGCGCUGAACUGAAGCCCCGGUAAACGGCGGCCGUAACAAUAACGGUCCUAAGGUAGCGAAAUUCCUUGUCGGGUAAGUUCCGACCUGCACGAAUGGUGCAACGAUCUGGGCACUGUCUCAGCCAUGAGCUCGGUGAAAUUGUAGUCGCGGUGAAGAUGCCGCGUACCCGCAACGGGACGGAAAGACCCCAUGAACCUUUACUAUAGCUUCACAUUGGUAUUG